GAGGCCCUGUGCACCGCAUCUCAUCCCCUUGGCCCAGUUCUGAUUCACCUGCUGCCGUGUGGACAGUUCUGUCCAUCUCAAGUGGCUGCCACCUUGCCUUGAAGCCCUGGGAGCUGGCUCAGCCCUGGCAUGGGGACAGCCUGGAAGGGUAGGGAAAGGGAAGCAGCAGUCCUCAACCACUGGGGGACAAGGAUGGGGGAGAAGUGCUUCAGCCUCCUGUCCUUCAGGGGUCAAUCUUGUGAUGUACUUUACAUGGCCUCAGUGCUAACCAGCUGGGCAACUCACCCUGCACUGGCUUUCCCACACGCCAUUUUACUCUCCCGAUUCUUGCUUCCUGCAGCCCCCUCCCAAAUGAAUUACCUGCAUCUCAGUUGUCCCCAGCUCCAGCUCUAAAUGCGAGCGCAUAUAGCACGUGACUACCUAUCCUGGCAAAGGUGAUUGGUCCAAAAGGUGGGCGUGUCACCCAAGCAGGGCCAAUCAGAAUCCUUGCCUGGGAGAACAUGAAGCUCUCCUCUGUGAAAGCUACAGAGGUGUUGCCAGGGUCAAGUGCCCGGACCUGACCGUGGAGAAAGCUGAUCUGCUCUGUGAGAGACCGAGGCCCCCGUGAAAGGAGGAGAGAGAGGCAGAGAUGAGAGAGGGCUGGGGAGAGUCUUGCGGUUUUGAGCCUCUAGUGUGAACUCCGGAGGUUCCAUUUCCUGUCGCUGAUCCUCAGCGCUGGGAGCCAGGAGCCUUCCCAGCAACCGAGGCAGUAAACGUCCCGGCGCUGGUGUGAACUGGGCUUCUGUUCCUUGCCAGGACAGAUGCCACUCCGGAGUGCCUCCUCCACAGCUCCAUCCAGGCCCUCGCUGGGACACUCCUCAGCCACAUCUCUCUGAUCCGCGGCUUCCAUCGGAGCCAUGACCCCAGCCCCCACCUCACUGCCCUCCUCACAGCUCAUACGCAGAUUCUAGAAAUUGGAGAGGACACUUGUGACUGAGCAGCAUGUCUGGCAAUGAGACAUCAAGAGAGUCCUGACGCUGAUGGAGGCCUUCACCUGUUGACAGGAUGGCUCUGUGUCAUCCCAGAGAGGGAUGCCAUCACCAGAGAGCACGUCAUAAGGACAAAACACUACUUCCUUCCUUCUUCUCUCAUGAUCCCGUGCUGUUGUCUUGGCUGGAAGCACAGGAUGCCAUGUCACAUUCCACUGUGGGAACAGGCAUUCAAUGUGUACAGUGCUUCCCUUAACUCGAGAGUUCUAGAAAAUAAACUAUUGCCCACCUUUUUCAAUCCUGGAAGCUCAUAUUUUAGUAAAGUUAAUUUACUUCAAAGAAGUUGUGAUAAAAUUAUUCAGGCCCACUUGGAAAUCCACUACAAAGAGUUCUGGCAUUUAAAAUUUUUUAUUAUUUGCCUAAUUAUGAGGGUAAUACAUUCUCCUUGCAAAGAAUUAAGAAAAUACAGAAAGCUAUGUAGAAAUAAAAUCUCCUAGAAUCUUAUCUCUCAGAAAUAACCAUUAUUAGCUUUUAAUGUGCCACCUUUUUCUUCUGUCCACAACUAUUUAUAAAAUUAGGUGGUACUUUAUAUACAAUUUUGCGUCUUGUUUUUUUCACUUUAUACAACUGGAACAUUCCCCAAUGUCAUUCUCUAUUCUUUGAAAACACCAUUUUAAUGACUACAUAAUAUUUCAUUGUCUGGUUGCACCAGAAUUUAUAUGGCCGUCUCUAUUUUCGGGCAUCUGAGAGUUUCCUAGUUUUCAUCAGUAUAAAUGAUGCUGUAGUGAAUAUUCUUGUCCAGGAAAUCUUCAUCUGAGUUUCUGAAAAUUUCCUUAGAAGAAAUUCUUAGAAGGGAAAUUACGGAGUCUCAACUCCGCUGGCCCCUCUCUCCUUAUGGAUUCCUGAGGAGGCGAGUGGCUCCUGUCACCCCUUGACUCAGUGGUCAUUGCUGCCUCUGAGGUCUGGACCAGAGGAUCUUUAUUCGUGCCGGAGGGAGACACAAAGGGGACCCCGCAGCCUCCCCAGGCUACUCCCCUGAACCCCUCCGUGCAAGGCAGAGCUUCCCCCUGUAGGAAUCAUUUCAUAAUUAACUUAGAGACUAAAGCAUAUUUAAUUAACCAUGGAAACCCUCCCAGCCAUCUGCCUCCGUUUUUAUUUUGAGGCAAAUGGAGACCUUUUUUUCCCUCAGCUCCCUCUUUUUGGGGCUGGAGCUCAUUUCCAGCAUCUCGGUUCUCAUAUGGAGCAGGCAGUGCCCCAGAGCGGCCGAGUCGGGGUUUAGCUGGAGGGGGCAGCUCAGGCCGCUGCCUGGGGGCAGGCGAGGCCAGGCAAGAGCAGCACCUGCUCCAGCAGAGCCCCAGCCAUUUGAGGGCCCCAGCCUCUUCCUCUCAGCCGCUGUCCUAAAAUCACAGGUCUGUGGAUCGUUCGUAUGGGAAGGAAACUAAGAGGAAAAGUCCUUUGCUCUCAUGUCUCAGGGGAGGAAGCCGAGCCCAGAGAGGU
rnacentral:lncRNA from 1 species